AAAACGACUCUCGGCAACGGAUAUCUCGGCUCUCGCAUCGAUGAAGAACAUAGCGAAAUGCGAUGCUUGGUGUGAAUUGCAGAAUCCCGUGAACCAUUGAGUCCUUGAACGCAAGUUGUGCCCGAAGCCAUUAGGCCGAGGGCACGCCUGCCCGGGCAUCACGCAA
rnacentral:rRNA from 1 species